rnacentral:lncRNA from 1 species
GCAACAUCCAGAUUCAACCUGUUGGAGUGAGUUUUGCUAGUUACCCUCUGGAUCACUUUGAUUCACUGGCCUCACGACAGAACAGCCUGCUAAGAUUGACUGAAUGAACAGACCAAGGAGCUCAAAUUUCUUGUUCUCAUUGCAAUUAGAGAAAAGUAAAAUAAUUGUUAUUUUGUAACAGUACGAAAAGGUGUCAGUUUCUUUACUUAGUUUCCUGAGUUGUGUUCAUGUACAUAUGUUUACAUAUAUAUAUAUAUAUAUGUGAAAUACUAUUAUAAAGUUGGGAAAAUAUCUUGUUUCUACCGUACCUAAUACCUAGUGCUGAAUUUCUUUAGUACCUCUGGAAGUGAAUGUUUUUUCUCCUCCAUCUUCCUUGGUGCAGUGCUGCUUUUUGCGAUGGCUGAUGCAUUUUCUUUUUCAUUUGUAACGUAUUCUUUCUGG